rnacentral:rRNA from 1 species
AGCGAACGCUGGCGGCAGGCUUAACACAUGCAAGUCGAGCGGGCCCUUUCGGGGGUCAGCGGCGGACGGGUGAGUAACACGUGGGAACGUACCCUUUGGUUCGGGACAACUCCUGGAAACGGGAGCUAAUACCGGAUACGCCCUUUUGGGGAAAGGUUUACUGCCGAAGGAUCGGCCCGCGUCUGAUUAGCUAGUUGGUGGGGUAACGGCCUACCAAGGCGACGAUCAGUAGCUGGUCUGAGAGGAUGAUCAGCCACACUGGGACUGAGACACGGCCCAGACUCCUACGGGAGGCAGCAGUGGGGAAUAUUGGACAAUGGGCGCAAGCCUGAUCCAGCCAUGCCGCGUGAGUGAUGAAGGCCUUAGGGUUGUAAAGCUCUUUUAUCCGGGACGAUAAUGACGGUACCGGAGGAAUAAGCCCCGGCUAACUUCGUGCCAGCAGCCGCGGUAAUACGAAGGGGGCUAGCGUUGCU